GCCGCUGUGAUGGAAUUGGCAGACGUGCUUGACUCAAAAUCAAGUUCCGAGAGGAGUGCCGGUUCGACUCCGGCCAGCGGCACCA
rnacentral:tRNA from 1 species